rnacentral:rRNA from 1 species
UACGAAGGGGGCUAGCGUUGUUCGGAAUCACUGGGCGUAAAGCGCACGUAGGCGGACUUUCAAGUCAGGGGUGAAAUCCCGGGGCUCAACCUCGGAAUUGCCUUUGAUACUGUAGGUCUCGAGUCCGGAAGAGGUGGGUGGAAUUCCUAGUGUAGAGGUGAAAUUCGUAGAUAUUAGGAAGAACACCGGUGGCGAAGGCGGCCCACUGGUCCGGUACUGGCGCUGAGGUGCGAAAGCGUGGGGAGCAAACAGG